rnacentral:ncRNA from 2 species
UAUUAAACAAAGACGAAAAAGAGUAACCUAAUCAUUAGUUUUCAGGGAGAAUAAUCAGUUGACUGCAAGUUAUUCAACUAAGUUUAGGUGAAGUUCACUUUCUGAGUUGACCAUUGGUCCGGUAUUGCCCGUUAGCGCAAACUUGAGUGUAUGACUGGAAUGGUCGUAAACUAGGGUGGUACCGCGAAGCUUCGUCCCUUUU